rnacentral:rRNA from 1 species
UACGGGGGGGGCAAGCGUUGUUCGGAAUUACUGGGCGUAAAGGGCUCGUAGGCGGCCAACUAAGUCAGACGUGAAAUCCCCUCGGCUUAACCGGGGAACUGCCUCUGAUACUGGAUGGCUUGAGAUUGGGAGAGGGAUGCGGAAUUCCAGGUGUAGCGGUGAAAUGCGUAGAUAUCGGAAGGAACAUCAGUGGCGAAAGCGACUUCCUGGACCAAUACUGACGCUCAUGUGCGAAAAGCGUGGGGGAGCAAACAGGGAUUAAGAA